AUCAUGGCUCAGGAUGAACGCUGGCGGCGUGCUUAACACAUGCAAGUCGAACGGAGUUUUUAAACGGAAGUUUUCGGAUGGAAGUUUAGAAACUUAGUGGCGGACGGGUGAGUAACGCGUGGGUAACCUGCCUCAUACAGGGGGAUAACAGUUAGAAAUGACUGCUAACACCGCAUAAUAUAGCGAAACCGCAUGAUUUUUGCUAUCAAAUAUUUAUAGGUAUGAGAUGGGCCCGCGUCUGAUUAGCUAGUUGGUGGGGUAAAAGCCUACCAAGGCGACGAUCAGUAGCCGGCUUGAGAGAGUGACCGGCCACAUUGGGACUGAGACACGGCCCAAACUCCUACGGGAGGCAGCAGUGGGGAAUAUUGGACAAUGGGGGAAACCCUGAUCCAGCCGACGCCGCGUGAGUGAAGAAGUAUUUCGGUAUGUAAAGCUCUAUCAGCAGGGAAGAUAAUGACAGUACCUGACUAAGAAGCCCCGGCUAACUACGUGCCAGCCGCCGC
rnacentral:rRNA from 1 species